rnacentral:tRNA from 4 species
GGUAAAAUGGCUGAGUUUAUAGGCGGUAAAUUGUAAAUUUAUUAACAAGAUUUAUUCUUUUUUAUCAU